GACGAACGCUGGCGGCGUGCUUAACACAUGCAAGUCGAACGGAAAGGCCCUGCUUUUGUGGGGUGCUCGAGUGGCGAACGGGUGUGUAACACGUGAGUAACCUGCCCUUGACUUUGGGAUAACUUCAGGAAACUGGGGCUAAUACCGGAUAGGAGCUCCUGCUGCAUGGUGGGGGUUGGAAAGUUUCGGCGGUUGGGGAUGGACUCGCGGCUUAUCAGCUUGUUGGUGGGGUAGUGGCUUACCAAGGCUUUGACGGGUAGCCGGCCUGAGAGGGUGACCGGCCACAUUGGGACUGAGAUACGGCCCAGACUCCUACGGGAGGCAGCAGUGGGGAAUAUUGCACAAUGGGCGGAAGCCUGAUGCAGCAACGCCGCGUGCGGGAUGACGGCCUUCGGGUUGUAAACCGCUUUCGCCUGUGACGAAGCGUGAGUGACGGUAAUGGGUAAAGAAGCACCGGCUAACUACGU
rnacentral:rRNA from 1 species